rnacentral:rRNA from 1 species
UACGGGGGAUGCAAGCGUUAUCCGGAUUUAUUGGGUUUAAAGGGUGCGUAGGCUGUGAGGUAAGUCAGCGGUGAAGUGCCCCCGCUCAACGGGGUGAAGUGCCAUUGAUACUGCCUUGCUGGAAUGCGGAUGCCGUGGGAGGAAUGUGUGGUGUAGCGGUGAAAUGCAUAGAUAUCACACAGAACACCGAUUGCGAAGGCAUCUCACGAAUCCGCUAUUGACGCUGAUGCACGAAAGCGUGGGUAUCAAACAGG